rnacentral:rRNA from 1 species
UAGGGAAUCUUCGGCAAUGGACGAAAGUCUGACCGAGCAACGCCGCGUGAGUGAAGAAGGUUUUCGGAUCGUAAAACUCUGUUGUUAGAGAAGAACAAGGACGUUAGUAACUGAACGUCCCCUGACGGUAUCUAACCAGAAAGCCACGGCUAACUACGUGCCAGCAGCCGCGGUAAUACGUAGGUGGCAAGCGUUGUCCGGAUUUAUUGGGCGUAAAGCGAGCGCAGGCGGUUUCUUAAGUCUGAUGUGAAAGCCCCCGGCUCAACCGGGGAGGGUCAUUGGAAACUGGGCGACUUGAGUGCAGAAGAGGAGAGUGGAAUUCCAUGUGUAGCGGUGAAAUGCGUAGAUAUAUGGAGGAACACCAGUGGCGAAGGCGGCUAUCUGGUCUGUAACUGACGCUGAGGCUCGAAAGCGUGGGGAGCAAACAGG